GAAAACAGGGGAGAAAGGAAAGAAAAAGAAAAAGGGAAGGAAAGAAAGAGAAUUUGGGAUUUCAAGGUUCAAGGUUCAAGGUUUGAUUGGUAAGUCAAUUUAGUCUCUAUUCUUAUAAUUUUUAUGUUUUUGGAACCCUAGAACAAAAUACUACUUGAUUUAAGUUGAAAAUUUGAAAGUUAGUAAAUUUUUAGAUGUUGUUCAUGUUGAAUUAAUUGAAGAAUUAGUGAUUAAAUUGAUAAAAUUUCAAGUUAGAACAGAGAAAUGGAUUAAAUUGUAAAAUAAAUUAUAGGUUUUGAAUUAGUAGGGACUAAAUUGAGAGAAUUUCGAAAUUAAGGAUUUAUGGUGAAAUUAGAGAGCUAAAUUAGUUUAAAGUGGGAAUGGAAUGAAAAUAUGAAAUUAGUUUUGAGAAUAAAAGUUAGUCUCGGUUCAAGGACUAAAUUGGAAUUUAGGCAAAUAUUGAGUAAAAAUUGAAAUAUUUAAUGUGAGAUUGAAUGAUGUUGUAUUGAUGAUUUUUAAUUGUUUUAAUUCCGUAGCUAGCAUCGUACCGGAAUUCUCGACAAAAAGAGGAAAAAUAUAGUUGACGAGGAAUAGCUCGGAAUUCUUAGUUUGUAUUUCUAUAAUCCGAAUCUAAUUAUUAAUUAUUGUAUUUUGAUUAAUUGUUAUAGUAAGUGAUUGAGGUGAGAAUUAUUGUGUUUUACAAUUGAAAUGGAUUGUCUUGAUAUGUGAUGAAAUUAUAUUGGUUGAAUUGAAUUGGAAUAUAUAUAUAUGUGUGUGUGUGUGUGUGUGUGUAAAUGUGAAAUUGUGCAAAUAUGAUAAUUGAAUUAUUUUUUAUAUGUAUAAAAUUCAAUUUUAAUGCCCAAGUAGACGGAAUUUAGAACUACUGGGAUAUUAGUGGUAUGCCAUUAAGGAAUUUUAGCGCGCUCUCUGAUUAUUAGCACAUCAGUGCUCUCUGAUUAUUAGCACGUUAGUGCUCUCUGAUUACUAGCACGCCAGUGCUCUCUGUUUAGCACAUCUGUGCUCUCUGUAUAGCACUUCAGUGCUCUCUGUUCAUUAGUGCAUAACAAUGCACCUCUGUAUUUGUUCCGUAUAUCUGGUGUGUUCUAUAAAAUCUACUUUGGGCUAAUAAUAAGAAUAUGAGAUAGUAAACUGAAAAUAGAAUGUAAAAUAUGUUGUAAAUACAUGGAAUACACGAGUUAUAUACUCAUAAAUUGAUUGUGGAAUGGAUAGUGUCAUUGUUUAAAUGAUACGUGAAUAAAUUAUGAAAAUGUAUUAUAUAUAGCAAGCGAUGAAAAUCGAGUAUUGUGUGAUUUUAAAUGUUCAAUUGUGUUUAACAUUUUAUUAUACAUAUUUUAUUGUUUUAUUUUUUUUAAAUAUUCAGAUUAUAGAAAUACCACUGAGUUUUUACUCAGCAUACGGUUUUAUUUUCCGUGCGCAGGUUAAGUACUUAAGUUUGAUCGCUGAUUCAGCAUCCAACAACGAUCCCGAACUCAGAUAUGGUGAUGUUUAUUUCUUUGUGUUGGCAUGUACCUAGGGUGUCUAAAUAUUAGUUAUUUUGUGGUUUGAUUGUAAAUGAAGUUAUAAAAUCUAUUUUGGAGAGUUUAUAAUUUGGAUUAAAAUGAUGCUUUGAUGACUUGUUUUGAUGAUAUAAAAUGUUUGAGAUUUCUGUCUGUUUAAUCUGUAAUCUCC
rnacentral:lncRNA from 1 species